CCCUCCAGUCCGGCGCCGGAUCGCGGUUGCCCAGCGCGCUGUGCCCUGCCGGGGGCGGGCCACGUUUGAUCUCCGGGCCCGCAGCAAGGGAUCGCGAAGGUAUUGAUCUAGGCGCUGCUGUGAAGGGAAUUUGCAGAUGUAAUUGGCCUAAAUCAGUUGGCUUUAAUAUCAGGAAAUUGUCCUCAGUGGGCAUGGCCAUAUGGAGCCCUUACAAGGGACUGGGCUCUUCCUGGUGAAAAAGAUUUGAAUCACGAGAGUGGCUGAUAUGAGGGAAAUUCUUUGCUGUUGCCUUCGAAGACAGAAGAGGUCCACAAGGCAAAGGAUGCAGACAGCCUGUAGGAGCUGAGACUGGCUCCUGGCUGACAGCCAGCAAGGAAAUGAGGACCUCAGUCCUCCAAUCAUGAAGCAGACUCCGACUUCUGCUAACAACCUGAAUACACUUCAAAGAGGAUUCUGAGCUCCAGCCGCCUACACAUUGAUUUCAGCUGUUGGGACCCUCAGCCGAGAACCCAGCUAUGCCGUGCCCAGAUGUAAGACCUACACAUCUGUGAGCUUGUAAGUGUGUGUUGCUUUAAGCCACUAAGUUUGUGGUAAUAUGUUUCACUGCAAUAUGAAACUAAUACUUCUGUGUGC
rnacentral:lncRNA from 10 species